rnacentral:rRNA from 1 species
UGGGGAAUUUUGGACAAUGGGCGAAAGCCUGAUCCAGCCAUGCCGCGUGAGUGAAGAAGGCCUUCGGGUUGUAAAGCUCUUUUAGUCGGAAAGAAAGAGUUGCAAUGAAUAAUUGUGAUUUAUGACGGUACCGACAGAAAAAGCACCGGCUAACUGCGUGCCAGCAGCCGCGGUAAUACGUAGGGUGCGAGCGUUAAUCGGAAUUACUGGGCGUAAAGGGUGCGCAGGCGGUCUUGCAAGUCAGAUGUGAAAGCCCCGGGCUUAACCUGGGAAUUGCGUUUGAAACUACAAGACUAGAGUGCAGCAGAGGGGAGUGGAAUUCCAUGUGUAGCAGUGAAAUGCGUAGAGAUGUGGAAGAACACCGAUGGCGAAGGCAGCUCCCUGGGUUGACACUGACGCUCAUGCACGAAAGCGUGGGGAGCAAACA